CAUAAUUCAGGAAAUGAAUACCAUAAUGACGGAGGAAAAAGAGUAGUCAGUUGGGAAUAUCAACAUUUUCCUCAGACAUAUUAUAAAAUUACAAAGAAAAACUAAAAUUACAAUAUUUUCACUUAUUAUGUACC